rnacentral:rRNA from 1 species
UGAAGUCGGAAUUGCUAGUAAUCGCGGAUCCAGCAUGCCGCGGUGAAUACGUUCCCGGGCCUUGUACACACCGCCCGUCACACCAUGGGAGCCGGUAAUACCCGAAGUCAGUAGUCCAACCUCGUGAGGACGCUGCCGAAGGUAGGAUUGGCGACUGGGGUGAAGUCGUAACAAGGUAGC